GAUCCGAGAAGCUUCUGCUUCGAGGACAUGUGGCGUAGGGGAGUCGGCAUUCUCCGAGUGUGCUUUCGGGCGCAAGUUCCCAUGAGAGGGGCGCUCUAUCCGGAGCGGGUGCUAGACCCGUACCGCCCGAAACGCGCGCGCGGAGUCGCCGGCCUCCCGGGAGUCGGGUUGCUUGGGAGUGCAGUCCAAAGUGGGUGGUAAACUCCACCUAAGGCUAAAUACGACCGAGAGACCGAUAGCAAACAAGUACCGUGAGGGAAAGUUGAAAAGCACUUUGAAGAGAGAGUUCAAGAGCACGUGAAACCGUUCAGAGGUAAACGGGUGGGGCCUCGAAGUCCUAAGUCGGUGGUGCACUCAGGUCUGCGACGACUCUGUAUUCCGGCGCUGUCGACCGCCACGAGAGGCGGGCCCGCUGGAAUUACGAGAGGCGCCGCCGUACCGCACUUGCAUCCCCCGUCUAGCAGGGCGUCGCAACCGGUUCGCGAGCUUCCGAUGUCUCGGGCGGCAAGGUAUCCGCAGGAGCUUCUURAUUCGUUAAGAGCGCCGGCGGUGUUAUAGGCCCCCGAAGACGAGAGGGCGCRCGGACCGGAACAAUUAGUAUUAUGGGUCCUCCCGAGCGGAGCGGGUUCGGGAUUUCUCGGGCGAGAAGGGGGCAGUCCCGCUUUCAAGCGAGGCCGUCUCCGCAUCCCCGAGAGUUUCGAUUUCCGCGCGGACUCCGUAAUAGUUGGCGGCGAGUAGGUCGGUCUCCCACCCGACCCGUCUUGAAACACGGACCAAGGAGUCCAGGUGGCGCGCGAGUCCCCGGGACUUGAUUAGGCCCGAGGGCGUAGUGAAAGCGAAAAGUUGGGAUGCCUUAGAUAAAGUUUAAGGCCGCACCAACCGCCCGCCUUGUGGCAUUUAUGCCGUGGCGGAGCGAGAGCGCGCCGCUUGGGACCCGAAAGAUGGUGAACUAUGCCUGGGCAGGACGAAGCCAGAGGAAACUCUGGUGGAGGUCCGCAGCGAUUCUGACGUGCAAAUCGAUCGUCAGACCUGGGUAUA
rnacentral:rRNA from 1 species